rnacentral:rRNA from 1 species
GGNNNGGAGCAAGCGUUGUUCGGAUUUACUGGGCGUAAAGGGCGCGUAGGCGGCCACCGCAAGUCAGUUGUGAAAUCUCUGGGCUUAACCCAGAAAGGUCAACUGAUACUGCGGGGCUAGAGUGCAGAAGGGGCAACUGGAAUUCUCGGUGUAGCGGUGAAAUGCGUAGAUAUCGAGAGGAACACCUGCGGCGAAGGCGGGUUGCUGGGCUGACACUGACGCUGAUGUGCGAAAGCUAGGGGAGCGAACGGGAUUAGAUACCCCGGUAGUCCUAGCCUUAAACGAUGAAUGCUUGGUGUCUGGGGUUUUAUAGUCCCCGGGUGCCGUCGCUAACGCUUUAAGCAUUCCGCCUGGGGAGUACGGUCGCAAGACUG